rnacentral:tRNA from 1 species
UGACUUAGAUGGUAAAGAAUCUGUCUGCAAUGCAGGAGACCCAGGUUCAAUCCCUGG